AAUCCACUUUUUUCCAUUUUGCAGAAUAAUCAUUUAAAGCUUUUGAAAGAAUGACUAUACGAACAUAGACAGAAAAUCAAUGAAAUUAUUUAUAAGAAAUAAAUGUGCCAAAAUUUGGAAAUACAAAAAGGGAACAUACCAAAAAUAUAAGCUUGUUAAAUUAGGAGUUCCCCUUGUGGCUCAGCGGGCUAAGGACCCAUCACUGUCUCUGUGACGCUGCAGGUUCAAUCCUUGGCCUCACUCAGUGGAUUAACAAUUCAGUGUUGCCACCAGCUGCCAGGCAGACCACAGGUGCAGCUCAGAUUCAACCCCUACCCCUGGAACUUCCAUAUGUUUCAGGUGCAGCCAUAAAAAGAAAAAAAAAAAAAGUUAGUUAAAUUAUGAGAUUCUUAUUUCGCCUAAAAAUAGAUUCUUUUUUGCCAAUCUAGUUAUCAUAGGUUAUCUUUUAAAUUGUUAUUUAUGUCAGUGCAUUUUUAUGUAGCUACAGAUAUAAACUCCUUGCUGGAAAGUUCUAGGAGCAGAAAAAAUACAUAAUUGAAAUGUUAGAAGCUUUUGUCAAUCCAAAUUCUAACCAAAAUUAAUGUAAAAUUUCUCUAAAACUGUAAUCUGUUAGUGAGCAUAACCCUACUUCCCAAAGUCCACUUAAGCAUAAGCUGUAAAAAAUCACAUCUAGUGUUGAUUUUAAUGUUAGGUUCACAACAAAUUGCACUGUUCACCUGUCCGCAAGUCUUUUUCUGAAACAACUCUGCACCCUAUUCACACUAUUCUAUUCAGCACAUUGUUCAGCCUCUUCAGCAGAACUGUACCUUCUUUCAUCACUAGGAAGCUGCACAGGUCAGAUGAGAGCACCCUUGGCUUCACCAGGGACAUAGCUAUUCUUUUCAAUACUGUUUCAUUGUUCAGUGAAUCUUUUUGCAUCUUUUGGGUUUUGGGCCCCCUCUUCUGGACAAUCUGUUUCACAACUGUACUUUGUUUCUGUAAAACCUGAGCUGAGCACAUAAAUGACUGAAAUGUUCUAGGAAAAAUGUAAUCAAAAACAUAAUUUCUACCAGUUAAGGCUAAUUCUAUUACUAUGCUUUGGGGAAACUUGCUUGUUUUUCUAAGUAACAAAUUGCAAAACAGGAGUCAGUUGUUUCUAAGCUUGAGCCUAUUUUUACAGAGGUCCAGAAAGCUUGAGCUCUCCUGCAAUCAGAGAAGGUCGUGUGUACUUUAAGCACAAGGGUAUCUGAAAUACAGCAUGCUGCUAACUUUCAGCCUAGAACUCUUAAGUACCAACUAUGAGCCUGGGUCUCUGUAGAUAAGCAUUCUCCUAUAGAGAACACAGAGAGACAGACAGCAAAGAGGGUGCAAAAUCAGUGUGUCACACAGCUGAAAGUAGUGCUCCUUGGGGACAUGAGGUCUGGUGAUAUAAAUCAGGCCAUAGUGAAAUCCAAGUUCAUCAGAGCCCUUGGAGGGACAAUAUAUACUCCAGCAUUUUUACAAUCACACAAGAGCUUCCCAGCAUACCUGAGCAAAGAGAGGCAUCAUGUAUUGCAUGCUAGCGUAAUGAGGCUUUAGGGAAAUGACUGGGGGUAGGGGCAAUUUGGUCCCCAGGUCAAGGUACUAGAUUCUGCUUCAGACUCCCUACCACCUGAGUGCUAGACCUUGGGUAUGUCUAGGCUUCCUCAUGUGUAACCUAAGAGAAUUGGGUCUUAAAUGGUAUCUUAGGUUGCUACUGGCUCCUGCUGUCUCCAGAAUGAUUAAGCAGAUGAUUGACAUAAAAUGAGCUGUCUGUGAACCUGGACCAUAGCAAGUAUUUGCCCAAGGUUCACAUGGCUCCUAACAACUAGACACAUCUGUGUGAAUAAACCAAAAGCAACAGAGCCCAAUACAGGACAUCUCACUGCAUGAUGAAAUGUGCUUAUCAUCAACCUCUUAGAAAUGAUUCUAAAAAACUGGCCUAAGUAUUGUGGGUGAAACCGCAAGCUUUGCUAACAGGAUGAGAAGCCCAGUGCUGCACUUUGGCUCUGCUGAUUUGGGCAGAUGCUCUCAGAUAUCAGAAGCCAGGUGGGGCAGUGGAAGGCGAGGAGUGUUAAUGUCAACAUCACAUCUUCAUUAAUAGUUGCAUCAUAAGCAUCUUCAUUGUUCCUGUCAAUGCUAUUUGCUAACAGAUUGUUUUAUUUUGACAGAAUGGUGAAUUUUGACAAAAAAUAGCCUUUUAUACCCAGGAGGAUCUUUAAUUCUUCAGAAACCAAGUAGAAAGACAGUUUAAGAUCACCAAUUUGAGAUAGAAAACUAGAGCACCAAGGUUGAGGCAAUCCAUAAGAAAAGAAUAAAUGAAGUUUCUUUCUACUGUUCAUUUUUUUAACACCACAAACUCUCACCUAAAGACAGCCAAACAUUUUUAUUCUAAACUUAUUAUUCUAUAUUUACUUCAUUCCGCUUAACGGAAAGAGCAGAUCAAGCACUGGAUAUGCUUCUCAACCUGAGGCAUAUUUACUGCUUCACUGUGCCCUUUCAACUUACCAGGCCUUGAGCAUGAAACCAAGACUUUCAAAAAAUACAAGGAAACAUCUUUACAAAAGCUUUCCAUAGUCCAGAAUUCACUUAGGUAAUUUUCACACAAGACAAAAGCUAUAUGAAUUUCGAGUGAUGGAAAUGAAACAUAUUAUGCAUGUAUUACCACCUCAUUCUACAUGCUAAUUAUAUUUAAAUAUCACUCACGUAAUUUUGACAGCAAUUAAUCCUAAUAUGACAGGAAGUAUCCUUUAAAUAAUUGUUUCUAUGCAAAGGAGUUUUUGUUUGUGAUGCUAAGUUUUAUAGAGCAAAAGCUAUGUGGUGGUAGUUUGUCUUACUGCUGUUUAGCAGCAGAGUGUGUUAAAAGUGUGUCCCAUAUAAAUUUAGCCACAAGGAAAUCCAAUAGUAUAUAUGCUGAGGACAACAUUGAAGGCAAUUUCUUACUGGGUCUGAUUCUUGGCUGAAAUCUGUUUUGACCAUGCCUGAUACAGUGCCACAGUGUGCAACCACUGCAGUUGCAAAGUAGUGGUGCUGCAUUUAGGGGCUUAAUAAUUGCUUGAUAAUGAUGAUGAUGAUGAAGACAAUGCCAACAGUGCUUUUACUGCUUCUGCCUUGGGAGAAUGCCCUAAGAAAACACUGUAUUAAUUUAUGUCAGAGAAUGUUUUGCCUAUGUUUUGCUUAAUCACCAGUGUCAUGUAGUAUAUUUAAGUCUUUAAACCAUUAGGAGUUUAUUUUUGUGUAUGGUGUAAAGAAAUGUUCUAACUUCACUGAUUUACAUGCAGCUGUCCAGCUUUCCUUAUACCACUUGCUGAAGAGAUGUUUUCCCAUUUUAUAUUCUCCUGUACAGAAGAGGUUUAUUUCUGGGCUCCCUCUUUCAUUUCAUUGAUCCAUAUGUCUGUUUUUGUGACAAUUCCAUGCUGUUUUGAUUACUGUAGUUUUGUAAUAGUGGCUGAGAUCUGGCAGGGUUAUGCCUCCAGCUUUGUGUUCCUAAGGAUUGCUCUGGAAAUUCUGGAUCUUUUGUGGUUCCAUAUAAAUUUUCAUUAUUUGUUCUAAUUCUGUGAAAAAUGUCAUGGACAAUUUGAUAGAGAUUUCAUUAAAUCUAUAUAUGGCUUUGGAUAGUAUGACUAUUUUCACAAUAUUAAUUCUUUCAAUCCAAGAACAUAAGCUGUCUUUCCAUUUCUUUCAGUCAUAGUCAAUUUCAUUUAUCAAUGUUUUAUAGUUCUUAGCAUAUUUCUUUCAACUUCUUGGCCAGGUUUACUCCUAAGUUUUUUUUAAUGCAAUUUUAAAAGGGAUUGUUUUUUCACUUUCUUGUUCUGAUAUUUCAAAGAAAUGCACAUGAUUUCUGUAUGUAAAUCUUAUACCCUGCUACCUUGCUAAAUUCACUCAUCAGUUCUAGUGGAUUUUGUGUGGAGUCUUUAGGUUUUUCUAUAUGGUUUCAGGUCAUUUGCAUAUAAUGACAAUUUCACCUCUUCCCUUCCAAUUUAGAAAUCUUUUAUUUAUUUUUCUUGUCUGCUUGCUAUGGCUAGGACUUCCAAUACUAUGUUAAAUAGAAGUGUGUUAAUUAUGUAUUUUUUUAAAUUUUCUAUACUUUAUAAUGCAUUAAUAUCCUGAGGCCCAGAGAGACUGUCCCUGCCAAAGCUAGCUAAUUUCUUCAGAGAGUAAACAAUUUGCCAGGGAACACACCUUUUAUGUGCAAACCAACCUACCUAAAGGCCAUAUUACAAACUACUUCUUUUAUCUAACUUUUACACAAGACAAGUAUUUCCCCAGCCUUGAAUCACUGAAGCUUCAGGUUAACAGGCAGCUAAAAACCAUCCCUAUAGAACAAAGUCCUGUGAAGUUUUCAAACUAUUCAAUCCUAAACUUACUCAAAGUUGCCUAUCCUACUUUGUCUAUUCUUUCUUCAAAGCAAAACAAAACAAAACACUGAAGGCUACAAAUAAGAAAAUAAUUUAUUUGUAAAGUGUUCUGGAGAAGAAAAAGAGCCAAGGGCUUAUAAAAGUGAAAACCAUGAGGCUGUACACUUGACACAAGAAAGGAAAUAUCUGUUCUUAAGGGACGGCUAUCACAAGUUGUGUUAGGGUAAGGCUCUGGUAAGUAGAUAGGCUGUCAUGAGUUAUAUUAGGAAAAAAGUACAUUAUGUAUCUUGAGUUUCUGGCAGAUGUUCUGGAUGCCUUUGUUAGGACAGUAAGUGGUAAAAAGAUCAGAUUCUAUCCAGGCUGAGACAUGCAUAAGACACAUUUCCUCAAUGGCAUCCUGGCUCCAUUUUAGAAAGUUCUUAGCAACACUGGCUCCUAUUUUUUCUUUCACACUUGCUAUGGAAACUAUAAUAAAGGCUCUGAGCCAUGUUCUCUCCUUGCUCCUCCUCUCCUCUGAGUAACCCUAGUACUCACCCAUCUAGCCCUGCCUGGCACAACAUGCACCCUGAUCUUUGGAAUUGUGUAAUAAUCUUUUUUCAAAAGCAGUUGUUUCUGAGUCUGUUACCUUAUUAUAUCAAAUUUUUAAAAAUUAUGGGUAAAUCAUAAAAGAUUCUUAGGAUGUUAGGUCAGGAGGAUGAAAUAUGAUUGGUUCAAGCUGUAUUUUGUUGAAAGACUUCACUAGCUAUGAAUUCAGCAAUUAACUUGUUGCUUGAAUCAGUGGGAAUAGCUUUAACAGUUUGCUUAAUGGUCUAUUAAAUCAAGGAUUAGGAGUUCCCGUUUGGCGCAGCAGAAACGAAUCCGACUAGGAACCACGAGGUUGUAGAUACGAUCCCUGGCCUCGCUCAGUGGGUUAAGGAUCCAUCCAGCCUUGCUGUGAGCUGUGGUGUAGGUUGCAGACUCAGCUCAGAUCUGGAAUUGUUGUGGCUGUGGCGUAGAUCAGCAGCUGUAGCUCUGAUAAGACCCCUAGCCUGGGAACCUCCAUAUGCCGUGGGUAUGGACCUAAAAAGACAAAAGCCAAAAAAAAAAAAAAAAAAAAAAAAAAAAGUUUAAAUGUUGAUCUACAGUACAUAAGGUUGAUAUUCCAAAAUGUUGAAUAGAAACUUAAAGGAAGAAAGCUGAGGGCUACUGCAAUUCCCCCAAAACGUAAAAUAGAACUACCAUACUAUCAAGCAAUUCCACUACUGUAUAUUUAUCCUUAGAAAAUGAAAACACUAAUUUGAAAAGAUACACGAACUACUAUGUUCACUGCAGCAUUAUUUACAAUAGCAACAUAUGGAAGCAACCUAAGCAACAUACAUAUUGGAGUAUUACCCAUUCACAGAAAAGAAUGAAAACUUGUGAUUUGUGACACAUGAUGGACCUAGAGGUGCUAUGUUAAGUGAAAUAAGUCACACAGAGAAAGACAAAUACUCUAUGGUUUCACCUACAUGUGGAUCUAAAAACAAACAAAUGAACAAAUACAACUAAACAGAAACAGAAUCAGAUACAGAGAACAAAUAGGUGGUUUCCAGGGGGGAGGAAGUGAGUGGGGAGAGAUGUAGGUGAAGGAGAUUAAGAGGUACAAACUUUCAGGUAGAAAAUAAAUGAGUCACAGCUAUGACAUGUACAGUAUGGGGAAUAUAGUCAAUAAUUAUGCAAUAUUGUUGUAUGCCAAUAAUUAUGGCAUUAUUGUUGUUGACAUAUGACAACUGGACUUAAGCAUGGCAAUAAUUUUGAUCAACUGCAGUUGGCCUUGGGCACAGGACGGUCAGGGUAACCAGCUGUCUAACCUGGGUAUCCCAUACUUGGCCUUCCUGGGCCAGGAAUCUAACGUGUACCACCAGCAGUGACCCAAGCCACAGCAGUAACAAUGCUGGGCCCUUAACCUCUAAAUCACCGGGGAACUCCUGAAACAUCUUUUAUGCACGUGACUUUAAAAAAACAUUACAUUCAACUGAAGGUGGUCAAAGAAGGUUUUCCUUCUAACACUGUUCUUCACAUAUAAAACUAGAAUUAUUUGAAACAUCUUUUAUACAUCUGUAUUUACAGAGUAUGUUUCAUACAGAAGUGUUUCGUAAGAACAUACUUUCCUUGAAGUAAAACUACUUGGAUGAAAAAAAAAAAUUCUGUCAAUCUCAGAGACAUCUCAUUUAUAACAGACUUAAAGUGUAUUUCAUGCACCACACUGGGGUAAAAUAAUUAAGUCUUUAUUCACAUAUAUGAUUUUGUUUAUUAUAAACAUCUUUUAUAUGUGUCUUUAUAUAGUUCCUUGUAAAGACUGUGUUGAUUACAUUUUCACUAAAUAACAAGGUACUUGCUCACAUAUACAACUCCCAUUCUGAUACACCUUUUAUAAUGUGUCUGCAACAUUUCUAGAUAUUGCGUCACUGGAAUAACACUACUUAGAGGCCGGUAACCACUAGCACAGCUAGAAAACAUAUUUUAUACUAUGCUUCAGCACCAUAUUUUGCUAUACAUACAUAUUCACUGAAACAUCACUUUCAUUAUUCACAUACAUAUACUUAGCAUUCUUUUUUUUGGUCUUUUGUCUUUUUAGGGGUGCACCUAAAUGCAUA
rnacentral:lncRNA from 1 species